UUCGGAUCGGAGUCUGCAACCCGACUCCGUGAAGCUGGAUUCGCUAGUAAUCGCGCAUCAGCCAUGGCGCGGUGAAUACGUUCCCGGGUCUUGUACACACCGCCCGUCAAGCCAUGGAAGCCGGGGGUGCCUGAAGUGUGCAGCCGCAAGGAGCGCCCUAAGGUAAAACCGGUGACUGGGGCUAAGUCGUAACAAGGUAUC
rnacentral:rRNA from 1 species